CUAUCUAUCGUAACACCUUUUACAUGGCAGGUUUGGGUGUGCGUUCUUUUGUCAUUGAUUGUGGCGACCAUAUUUUUAACCUUCACCACCAACGUAACCAUGCCAGGGAAGACAAGAAAUUCGUGAAUUUCUACGAUAUGGUAUCUGUGGGGAUGUUUACUCUCUCAAGGAAGUAGAAUUCCAUUUAGCGGAGCUCUAAGUGUGAAACUUUUCCUGGUUUCCUGGUGGGCAUUUGCAGUAAUAUUUUACUCAUCUUAUGGUGGUACACUGAAAUCACACAUGACCAUC